rnacentral:tRNA from 1 species
GGUUGUAUGGCUCAGUGGUAGAGCAUGUGCUCAGCAUGCAUGAGGUCCUGGGUUCAAUCCACAGCACCUCCA